rnacentral:misc_RNA from 1 species
AACGCACAUUGCGCCCGCCAGUAUUCUGGCGGGCAUGCCUGUUCGAGCGUCAUUUCAACCAUCAAGCGCCUGCGCUUGUGUUGGAACCCUGCGGCUGCCGCAGGCUCCCAAACCCAGUGGCGGGCUCGUCGUCGUACCGAGUGCAGUAAACUUACCACGCUCAGGGCACGCGACGGGUGACCGGCCGUAAAACCCCCCACUUUCUCAAGGUUGACCUCGGAUCAGGUAGGAAUACCCGCUGAACUUAA